rnacentral:lncRNA from 1 species
UCCUCAAUGAUUGUGCACUAAACCUUUAUGUGGCAGCCGUCGAACACGACAAAUAUGGAGUGUGGUAGUUUGUUAUAUCCAUUGCAAGGUAUGGGACUUGAGUCUCACAUUGAUAUUAUAAUAUAUUGAUGUGGGGUUUAUAUAAGCCUAAGCUCUCUCAUCUCACUUGCUAGCUUCUGGUGUGCGUUUUUGUUAGGAUCGUGAACUCGGAUAGUACGAAAUUUAGCCAAACAAUCUUAUAGUGAUAAUAACUAAGAUAAUACAAGUUGAUAAUAACGGUAAUUAAGGCAAAUAAAGAAUGCACAAAUAUAACGUUGUUCGGUCAAGAUGACCUAUAUCCACAAUCGAAAAUGAGCAAAUUCAAUAUACCAAUAAGAGUACAAAAUUAUAGUAAAUACUCUAAUUAAUCACAAAUAACCUCAAGAUAACAACCUCAUAAGAAUCCUCCAAAUAAAAAGAUCACACAAAUAUUUACCAAUACUCAACUCUCUUACAAAAAACUCUCAAUACAGGAGGAACGAAAGAUAAGAGAUUAAAGGUUUUGAA